rnacentral:tRNA from 1 species
GCCGCGAUGGUGUAAGGGCAACACGUCGGCCUGUGGAGCCGACUUUCUGGGUUCGAGUCCCAGUCGCGGCC